AUGGAGGCGGAGGCUGGUGGUGGUGGUAGCAUGGGCCAGCGGGAGGCCCAGGACACUGACCCUGCCUCCAGCAAGGCUCCCGGCAGUGCGUUGGGAAUGAAGACACAGUGAGCAGUCUAGAGGUCUUUGCAGGGGAAGGGAAUGUGCCCAAUAUCAUCACUGCAGGCCCACCAGGAACUGACAAGACUACACACAUUCUGUGCUUGGGACGAGCCCUGCUGGACCCAGCACUCAAAGACGCCGUGUUGGAACUCACUACUUCAAAUGACAGGGGCAGCCGACAUAAGAUCAUCAUUCAGUAUGAAGCACACAGCAUGACUGAGGGAGCCAGUGCCCUUGCUUGUAACACUUCGGAUAAGAUCAUCGAGCCCAUUCAGUCCCACUGUGCUGACCUCCACUACCCGAAGCUGACCAAUGCCCAGAUCCUUGCCAGGCUGAUGAAUGUUAUCAAGAAGGAGAGGGUGCCCCACACUGAUGACGGCUUGGAAGCCAUCAUCUUCACCGCCCACGGAGACAUGAGGCAGGUGCGGAACAACCUGCAGUCCACCCUGGCAGGAUUUGCUUUCAUUAACAGUGAGAAUGUGUUUAUGGUCUGUGAAGAGCCCCACCCACUGCUGAUGAAGGAAAUGAUCCAGCACUGUGUGAAUGCCAACACCGACGAAGCCUGCAAGAUUCUUGCUCACCUGUGGCAUCUGCGCUACUCACCAGAAGGUAUCAUUGGUAACAUCUUUCAAGUGUGUAAAACUUUCCAAAUGACAGAACACCUGAAACUGGAGGUUAUCGAGGAAAUUGGAUACACUCAUAUAAAAACAGCAGAAGGAGUGAACUCCCUUUUGCAGAUGGCAGGCCUCCUGGCCAGGCUGUGUCAGAAGACAAUGGCCCCAGUAGCCAGUUGGAGCAGAGAGUUUGCUGACUGACUUACAGGUGCCCUAUCCUGAGAUGCAGGAGCUGCGGUCUUCUGAUAGGGGAAAAUGCUGCCUUAGGCUGGAACCAGCAUGACUGCCCUUUAAACUCCCGUGGUGGGCUGGACGUGGUAGUUCACACCUGUAAUCCCAGCACUUUGGGAGACCAAGGCAGGCAGAUCACUUGAGGUCAGGAGUUUGAGACAAGCCUGGCCAACAUGGUGAAACCCUGUCUCUGCUAAAAAUACAAAAAUUAGCUAGAGGUGGUGUCAUGCACCUGCAACCCUGGCUGCUCGGGAGGCUGAGGCAGGAUAAUCCCUUUUUCCCAGGAGGUAGUGGUUGCAGUGAGCCGAGAUUGUGCCCUUACAUUCUAGCUGGG